rnacentral:tRNA from 1 species
GCCGUCGUAGCUCAGUAGGCAGAGCGGCGCAUUCGUAACGCGUAGGUCGGGGGUUCGAUCCCCUUCGACGGCA